UUGAAGGAGGCUUUGACGAUGACGAUGACUCGGAGCGAUUAGAAUUAGAAAAACGGUUUAGGAUUGGAUUUUGUUGGGUGGUAUGGAGUUUGGUUGAAAAAUUUCAGUGUGGUGGGUGGUGAGAGCUUGUGAGGUGUGAAAGAGUGAGAUGGCGGGGAGAGGAUCCAGAUGGGCGGGCUGAGGAUCCAGAAGGUGGCGAUGAGAAUCAUGGGGACAAACGACAAAUCGUUCAGCUGUCGAACGCCGAGUCGGUGGCGGAGGAUGAGGAAGAGCUAAUGUGAGAGGCGAUCCGACGACUGCUGUCACAGAAGAAAUCGAGCACCGCCAUUCUCAAGUCCAAAAAUUCGGAGACCAUCGACAUCCGGAAGCUUGAUUUGUUCUUGAUUGGAUCGCCACUAAGUGCCGAAAGGCAGUGCAUAGAUAUUUUUCAGGAAAGUGAAGUUCUGGAAAGAAGAUGGCCAAGAGGAAGCACCACCUGUCUUUGUAGUGGGUGGUGGUAAUAGCGGUGGUUCGGAUCGAGAGUGGGAGUGAGAGAAGCUCUUGAUGCGAAUAGAAGAGGUAAGAGAGAAGAUGAAGAUGGAUGGGUCAGAAAAGAAAACGAUGAUGAAGAAGAUGAUUUGUCUAUCAAAAUUUGAUGAAUGAACUGUGAUUUUUUUUUGCUGUUUUUGUUGCUGAAAGGAUGAACAAGAGGAAGAAUAUGAAGAAUUGUGCAGCGGAAGAAGAAGAAUAUUUAAGGGGGCAGUUUGGACAUUUCAUCCAAAUUGAGGGUCAAAAUCUAAAAAGUGGGCCCUUUUGUCGGUGCCAAGUCAGCAUCUGACGUUACGUUUCGAGCCAAAUUUGAAUUUUGGACACGUGUGAUGGAAAAUGGAAG